rnacentral:rRNA from 1 species
UACGUAGGGUGCGAGCGUUGUCCGGAAUUACUGGGCGUAAAGAGCUCGUAGGUGGUUUGUCGCGUUGUUCGUGAAAACUCACAACUCAAUUGUGGGCGUGCGGGCGAUACGGGGCAGACUGGAGUACUGCAGGGGGAGACUGGAAAUUCCUGGUGUAGCGGUGGGAAUUGCGCAGAUAUCAAGGAGGAACACCCGGUGGCGAAGGGCGGGGGUCUCUUGGGGGCAAGUAACUACGUGAGGAGGCGAAAAGCGUGGGGGGAGGAAACGG